UUAAACCAUGCAUCUGUAAAUGUGUCCUGUUUCAAUAGGGUCUUAUUAUAGGACGUGAUGCCACUGAAUUAGGAUGUUUGUUCUUUUGCUACCUUUGUUAAACAACAUCAGAUCAUUCGUAUUGUAUCCUUCCUCGGAUUGCUUCUUUUGUUCUACUACAAAUAUGCUCCACAUGGCAGGGAGAGGUAUGCUCCUAAAUUUCUUAUUUUUUGCAUUGUGAAAUGAUUGUUCUAACAACAUCAAGUUUGUGUUCUUCAUAUAAUCUAUCUCAGAUUGCUCUGUGUUUUGCAGGUCUCGAGGUCAAGCCUGGACCCACUGUCAAGUGUGUGCUUGGACAUGACUUUAUCCUGCACUUUCCAGUGCUGCAUUUGGGGAAUCAAAGAAAAGUGAAAGUGCCAUGUCAAAGUUGAUGACCAGAAACUUGCUAUUGGAACCCUCUUUAUUGAAAAAUACCCCUAGAUAGAAAUUGAUUUGGUUUUCAAUAAAGAGUAUGAAGAGAAGGAGCUAAACAUUCCAGUAAUCAAGGA